rnacentral:rRNA from 1 species
CACGUAAGGUGCGAGCGUUGUCCGGAAUUAUUGGGCGUAAAGAGCUCGUAGGCGGUGUGUCGCGUCGGCCGUGAAAACCUGCAGCUUAACUGUGGGCUUGCGGUCGAUACGGGCAUCACUGGAGUUCGGCAGGGGAGACUGGAAUUCCUGGUGUAGCGGUGAAAUGCGCAGAUAUCAGGAGGAACACCGGUGGCGAAGGCGGGUCUCUGGGCCGAUACUGACGCUGAGGAGCGAAAGCGUGGGGAGCGAACAGG